rnacentral:tRNA from 1 species
GUCGCGCCAAAUUAAUUCAGUAUGGGAAUAUACUAUGCGUAAUGCCAAAGAAGAGCUGUUACUUGCCUUAAAAAAUA